UACGUAGGGGGCUAGCGUUGCUCGGAAUCACUGGGCGUAAAGCGCACGUAGGCGGAUUGUUAAGUCAGGGGUGAAAUCCUGGAGCUCAACUCCAGAACUGCCUUUGAUACUGGCGAUCUUGAGUCCGGGAGAGGUGAGUGGAACUGCGAGUGUAGAGGUGAAAUUCGUAGAUAUUCGGAGGAACACCAGUGGCGAAGGCGGCUCACUGGCUCGGUACUGACGCUGAGGUGCGAAAGCGUGGGGAGCGAACAGG
rnacentral:rRNA from 1 species